rnacentral:rRNA from 1 species
AGCGAACGCUGGCGGCAGGCCUAACACAUGCAAGUCGAACGAAGUCUUCGGACUUAGUGGCGGACGGGUGAGUAACACGUGGGAACGUACCUUUUGGUUCGGAACAACUCAGGGAAACUUGAGCUAAUACCGGAUGAGCCCUUAGGGGGAAAGAUUUAUCGCCGAAAGAGCGGCCCGCGUUAGAUUAGCUAGUUGGUGAGGUAAAGGCUCACCAAGGCUACGAUCUAUAGCUGGUCUGAGAGGAUGAUCAGCCACACUGGGACUGAGACACGGCCCAGACUCCUACGGGAGGCUGCAGUGGGGAAUCUUGCGCAAUGGGCGAAAGCCUGACGCAGCCAUGCCGCGUGGAUGGUGAAGGUCUUAGGAUUGUAAAAUUCUUUUACCAGGGACGAUAAUGACGGUACCUGGAGAAAAAGCCCCGGCUAACUUCGUGCCAGCCGCCGCAGUAACAC